rnacentral:rRNA from 1 species
UACGUAGGGCGCAAGCGCUGUCCGGAAUUAUUGGGCGUAAAGAGCUCGUAGGCGGCUUGUCACGUCGGUUGUGAAAGCCCGGGGCUUAACCCCGGGUCUGCAGUCGAUACGGGCAGGCUAGAGUGUGGUAGGGGAGAUCGGAAUUCCUGGUGUAGCGGUGAAAUGCGCAGAUAUCAGGAGGAACACCGGUGGCGAAGGCGGAUCUCUGGGCCAUUACUGACGCUGAGGAGCGAAAGCGUGGGGAGCGAACAGG